rnacentral:rRNA from 1 species
CCUACGGGUGGCAGCAGUGAGGAAUAUUGGGCAAUGGAGGCAACUCUGAACCAGCAACGUCGCGUGAAUGAUGACGGUCUUAGGAUUGUAAAGUUUUUUUCUACGGGAAGCAGAACGUGACGGUACCUUCGGAAUAAGCAGUGGCUAAAUACGUGCCAGCAGCUGCGGGAAUACGGUGGGGGGAGGUGGUAUCCGGAAUGCCUGGGGGUAACGGGUGUGUAGGAGGUAUGGCUAGGUGGUAGCGUAACUGCGGGGCUCAAACUCUGCACUAUUACCGAAACUGUCGGACUUGAGUGCAGGGGGAGCAAAUGGAAUGCGUGGUGUAGCGGUGGAAUGCAUAGAUAUUAGGAAGAACACCGGUGGCGAAGGC